rnacentral:rRNA from 1 species
CAGGAUGAACGCUAGCGGCAGGCCUAACACAUGCAAGUCGAGGGGUAGAGUUCUUCGGGACUUGAGACCGGCGCACGGGUGCGUAACGCGUAUGCAAUCUACCUUAUACAGGGGAAUAGCCCAGAGAAAUUUGGAUUAAUGCCCCAUAGUGUUAUCGAAUCGCAUGGUUUGAUAACUAAAGUUCCAACGGUAUAAGAUGAGCAUGCGUCCCAUUAGUUAGUUGGUAAGGUAACGGCUUACCAAGACAAUGAUGGGUAGGGGUCCUGAGAGGGAGAUCCCCCACACUGGUACUGAGACACGGACCAGACUCCUACGGGAGGCAGCAGUGAGGAAUAUUGGUCAAUGGGCGCAAGCCUGAACCAGCCAUGCCGCGUGCAGGAAGACGGUCCUAUGGAUUGUAAACUGCUUUUAUACAGGAAGAAACCCUCCCACGUGUGGGAGCUUGACGGUACUGUAGGAAUAAGGAUCGGCUAACUCCGUGCCAGCAGCCGCGGUAAUACGGAGGAUCCAAGCGUUAUCCGGAAUCAUUGGGUUUAAAGGGUCCGUAGGCGGCCUUAUAAGUCAGUGGUGAAAUCUCCUAGCUCAACUAGGAAACUGCCAUUGAUACUGUAGGGCUUGAAUUUUUGUGAAGUAACUAGAAUAUGUAGUGUAGCGGUGAAAUGCUUAGAUAUUACAUGGAAUACCAAUUGCGAAGGCAGGUUACUAACAAACGAUUGACGCUGAUGGACGAAAGCGUGGGGAGCGAACAGGAUUAGAUACCCUGGUAGUCCACGCCGUAAACGAUGGAUACUAGCUGUUCGGAGCAAUCUGAGUGGCUAAGCGAAAGUGAUAAGUAUCCCA